AAUGUGGUUUUAAUAAAAACCACAAACAAUUUUAAACCAAUUAUUU
rfam:Anopheles arabiensis strain DONG5_A unplaced genomic scaffold supercont1.7, whole genome shotgun sequence.